AACGAACGCUGGCGGCAGGCUUAACACAUGCAAGUCGAACGCCCCGCAAGGGGAGUGGCAGACGGGUGAGUAACACGUGGGAACGUGCCCUAAGGUUUGGAAUAUUCCCGGGAAACUGGGAGCAAUACCAAAUGUGUCCGUAAGGAGAAAGAUUUAUCGCCUUAGGAUCGGCCCGCGUCAGAUUAGGUAGUUGGUGGGGUAAUGGCCUACCAAGCCGACGAUCUGUAGCUGGUCUGAGAGGACGACCAGCCACACUGGGACUGAGACACGGCCCAGACUCCUACGGGAGGCAGCAGUGGGGAAUCUUGGACAAUGGGCGCAAGCCUGAUCCAGCCAUGCCGCGUGGAUGAUGAAGGCCCUAGGGUUGUAAAAUCCUUUCGUUGGGGACGAUAAUGACGGUACCCAAAGAAGAAGCUCCGGCUAACUUCGUGCCAGCCGCCGCUGUAAAAC
rnacentral:rRNA from 1 species